UAAUCGGGUAUUUUUCUGGGUCAACUGCAACCCGGAUUGUUAAAUGCUUCUGUUUGUCUGGCUUUUAAAAUCCAUAAUAUAUAGAAACAGGAAUAGUUCAGGGUCCAACUAUUCCAGGUGGCAUUUCUCUACCUAUUCUUCACCAUAAUCCACAUGGCAUCUUUUCAGAGCAUUUUUCAUUUUUUUUUCUUUUGUUCAAACAAACCCGCCUCUCCUUCAAAAAAAAAAUUCUCUCUCUUUCUCCCAAAUUGGACGUAUUCUUUUCUCCUUCAACCCUAAUCUCAAAUAUCAACAAUCUGAGAGAAAAACUGGAGAAAAUGCAUCUCUUCUCAACAUUCAUCCUUCAAAUCUGAUCUAUUCAUGGACAUUUAUCCUUGAAACCCAUUCUCUGCUACUACAAUCAACGUGGCAUCUUUUCAGAGAUUUUCUUUUUGCUUUUUUCUUUUUUAUUUCUUUGCUCAAACCAUCCCGUCUCUCAUUCAAACGAUUAUGACUUUUCUCUCUCUUUCUCCCAAACUCGACAAUUUCUGUUCUCCUUCAACCCCAAUCUCAACAUCUCAAUAAUCUGAGAGAAAAGUCAGAUCCAGAGAAAAUGCAUCUCUUCUCAACAUUCAUCCUUAAUGAUUAUCAGAUCCUUCAAAUCGGUUUUAUGCUAUCAAUGAAUCACUCGAUUCUGAUCAGGAGCCCCAAAUCAAUCCAUCAUGCGGUUCAAUCAAUGGCGACCUGGGAGAUCACGUGAUUCUGGUCUACCCAUCUCAUGUCCGAGUCUCCAAGCACGCGAAUCUGCGUUUUUUUUCUCACAUUUGCAAAAGCACGCACACGAUCGAAGCUUCAUCGUCAUCAUGUCCUGACCCAGAUUGAAAAGAGCAAAAGUUCCACCGGUUGAAGAGCGCAUGAAGAUUGAUAGUCAUUAUCGCAAAUUGUUUUGGAUGGAGUCAUCAUCAACUGCUGAAGCUUGGUAGAGAUGGUAAUGGCCAAUUAACUCUGUCAGAUGGGUUCUGCAAAUGUGCUGCCUCAGCAGCACCUGAAGUUACUCUGGCGGUUGUCCUACCUCAUCGGUUAAGGUAACUGUGAAUUAUAACCAUAUCAAGGGCUGCAAUUGGAACUUUUCAACAAGAUAUCACAUGAGAUCUAUAACCAUGGAGAAGGGUUCCACACAGAGCUAAAGGAUGUGCCUGUUUUCCUUUUUAGGUCCCAAACAGAUAGGCCAACAUCUGCAGUAGCUGUUUUGUUUGAUAAAGCAUCAAGUGACAUUUUAACUCACAAAUAAAGGAACAUGGUUGUCUAUGCCAUCAAGAAGAAGAAGCAGCAUGAAAAGAGGGAAGAUAAGCCUUGCUGAUUGGUCCUAUAAUUUGAAAUCAUCAAGCUGCUACUCUGCUAGAGGGUAGAUAAUAAUCUAAAAUAUUUGUUCAAUUUAAAAAUGAGUGUUGGGGGAGCUAAAUUAGUACUAGCACUUUAAAUUCUAAUGUUUUUGUGAUAUCUAAGUGAAUAAGUUAUAAUUGGUAAUUUUGUUUCCUUCUCUGUUAAUGUGAAAUAUGCUAAUGGGUUUGAAAUUC